ACUUCCUGUCCAGCACUUCCUCCUAUGCACUUCCUGUCCAGCACUUCCUCCUAUGCACUUCCUGUCCAGCACUUCCUCUUAUGAACUUCCUGUCCAGCACUUCCUCUUAUGAACUUCCUCUUCCCCACACUUCCUCCUUUGGCCCUUUCUCCUCCCCACAGUUCCUCCCCCCGCACUUCCCCUCCAGCACUUCCUCCUAUGCACUUGCUUUCCUGGCACUUCCUCCUCCCUGCCUUCCUCCUUCCCACAUGGCCAGGGAGCCCAGACCCAGGGGCUGCCCUUCACAGCCCUCUGUCAGGUCCUCUUCCCCCACCCAGGAAGGCAGUCUCUUCUCUAAGCGGCCACUUUUCACAAGCAGUGUUCCUCUCAUUCUCCUCAGGGACCCCCCAGCACAAUCUAUUUUUGAGGUUCUAGGACUUUGCAAAAGAGUGAGAAGGCCUUUGGAUACCAGCUUUGGCUCUCUGCCCAUCUAAGCAUGGAAGCCCUCAUGGAAAGGGGUUGCCAGGCCUGACUGCCAGCGUGGGACAGGUGUCAUGUCAAAUUCCCACCACACAGGUAGAUCACAACAGUGCUAUUUGGAACUUACGGGACCUACGAAUCUCUAGAGGGUCUCAGAAGGCAGCUCUGAAGGACACUCCUUGUAUGUGCCAUCUUUGGAAUGUUCUUUUUCUUUUCUGCCUUUGCAUGGCAUGGCCUGAAAUUCAAAGUUCUCACAAAGAGGAUCUGAUUGGCCAAGUGUUCUUGAUGUACCAGCCCUCAGCCAUGCCAGGAAGUUUUGCCAGGAAGUUAGUUGAAGGAGCUCCCGGUGAUUCCUGGAUUCGCGCUCCCCACAGGAUUGCAGCACACGCCCCUCGUCUGCUGGGUGGUCUGCAGUGGGUGGUGGUGUAAAGUUGUGGCCAGCCUCAGUAUGUUUCAGAGUAAAAUGUGAAUGACUC
ensembl:lncRNA